rnacentral:rRNA from 1 species
CUUGGGAUUGACUUAGGAGGGUUGGCAACGACCCCCCAGAGCCGAAAACUUGGUCAAACUCGGUCAUUUAGAGGAAGUAAAAGUCGUAACAAGGUUUCCGGAGGUGAACCUGCGGAAGGAUCAUUACCGAGUGAGGGCCCUCCGGGUCCAACCUCCCACCCGUGUUUAUUUUACCUUGUUGCUUCGGCGGGCCCGCCUUAACUGGCCGCCGGGGGGCUUACGCCCCCGGGCCCGCGCCCGCCGAAGACACCCUCGAACUCUGUCUGAAGAUUGUAGUCUGAGUGAAAAUAUAAAUUAUUUAAAACUUUCAACAACGGAUCUCUUGGUUCCGGCAUCGAUGAAGAACGCAGCGAAAUGCGAUACGUAAUGUGAAUUGCGAAUUCAGUGAAUCAUCGAGUCUUUGAACGCACAUUGCGCCCCCUGGUAUUCCGGGGGGCAUGCCUGUCCGAGCGUCAUUGCUGCCCUCAAGCACGGCCUGUGUGUUGGGCCCCGUCCUCCGACCCCGGGGGACGGGCCCGAAAGGCAGCGGCGGCACCGCGUCCGGUCCUCGAGCGUAUGGGGCUUUGUCACCCGCUCUGUAGGCCCGGCCGGCGCUUGCCGAUCAACCCAAAUUUUUAUCCAGGUUGACCUCGGAUCAGGUAGGGAUACCCGCUGAACUUAAGCAUAUCAAUAAGCGGAGGAAAAGAAACCAACAGGGAUUGCCCCAGUAGCGGCGAGUGAAGCGGCAAGAGCUCAAAUUUGAAAGCUGGCUCCUUCGGGGUCCGCAUUGUAAUUUGUAGAGGAUGCUUCGGGAGCGGUCCCCAUCUAAGUGCCCUGGAACGGGACG